UGGCCGGACUUGCAUGCUUCGACGACUCUUUGAGCUUUGUUCCCCCUUUUUUCCGUUCUGGUGUUACUCGCUGUGGUAGUGAUGCUGGAUUUGCACACAUCUAGACGGACAGAGAUAGACACGAGCAAAGAAAGUUCUGGAGAGUGAUAUAAAGGAAGACAAAAAUGUCAUCUUCAUAGCUUUCUUUUUCCAUUAAAGUUGCCAUGUGACACCACUGUCCGUCUCCAUUAUACUAUCAACAACAAUCAUUUUACCAUGAAAACUAACCAACAACUCCCCUACUCACAUAACUUUCUUUUUCAUUUGUCGCAAACUACUUGAAAAAGUAACAUGAACACACAGAUCCACCAUCUUAUCGUCCCUAUUUCCAUUGUCUUAAGCUCAGACACACUCAUAGACUAGAAAAUUGGUCCAAGUUGCUGGAUUUACUUUGAAAGUUCGAGCCCUGCCGAAAUAAGCAUUCGUCGAGGUUGUUGGGUUCGUUGAGGGGACAUUUGAGGUCGUUGGUCAAGCUCCGGUCCGAAGGCUGACUCAAAACCCGUUUGGGAUUUAAGGUCCAAAUUCUUUCACUAUUUAUUUGUUCUUUUUAAAUUUUAUAUACAUGUGACACUUUGUUUGGCGUGGUUAUAUGAAUAUUCUAAUGUUGGACGGAGAUGGAAUGCACUAUGGUGGUCUUUUGUUCCUUGAAUUUUUUAUGUAUGUGUUAUUUGAUUAGAUUAGAUAUUUUGUUAAUGUGCGUUGAUGCCUAGUCUUGCUUGAGGAAAGCCAAUUGAAUCAUUAUGUUGAGUUAAUAAGAAUGUGAAUGAAUUAAGGCCUAAUUUCCCUAAUUAGUUAAUUGAUCUAGAAAAGCUGAAUGUUUAUCUUAACCCAAUGUGCCGCAGAGCUUUGGAUAUAAAAGGAAACUGAAAAAAUAACUGGGUUUUAAGUGAUUAUCAUGCUCUUGUUUUAAUUUUAUUUUUUGCUUUGAUCGCUAGCGGCAUGUUUUGGCCGACGACACCUAGGUAGGCAAACUUUUAGGACGUUAUAUUUUAGUUAUUGAGGUGAAAGGUCGUCCCCUUUAGUCUAUACUCAGGGGAAUGCCCUCCCAGAUUUUGUGUAUAUUUUUAUCCGGGGUUACCUCGUAGUACUCUGUAAUUGGCAGCCAUUAUGAAUAUCAUGGAUGAAGCAUAAUAUUGGUUAGUGUAGGAUUGUUAAUAUUAUUCUUUUCUUUUCUUUUCUUUUCCUUUCUUUUUCUUUAAGUGGGGACGACCUUGAACCUCUUGUGUUUAUUUUAAUUUUUGUAUUUUUGCCUCAAUCUGAGCAUCCUAUAAAGCCAAUGUAAUCAUGCAUGCAACCGUACUAGUUACGAGACUCGGGGAGUGCCUAACACCUUCUCCCCGAGUCAAAUGAACCCCCUUACUCUGAAUUUCUGGUGCAGUCAGUCAUAGAGUCAAAUGUGUUUUGAAGGAAAAUUCUUAUUUUAUAAAAUGGUGACCUGUCACACCGAAACAAAAUGACAGGUGGCGACUAUGAAAAAUCGUUCGAAACACAAUCUUUUGUCACUUUUCAAAUUGAAAUCCUUUAAGCUUUAAAAUUACUUUAUUAUCCUUUUAAAGAAGGUUUAAGAGUAAAAAAAGGGAUGUGACACUAAACAAGCAUUAUGGAUGGUGAACAAAAAUCUUAAAAGCUAUGGAGUUCUUGGAGCAAGCAUGCAUUUCUUUUGAUGAGCUAAUGGAGAUACAAUAGUUCUCUAUCGGGGAGUUGUAUAUAAAGCUAAGAGGGGAGUUUCAGAAGGUUUCAUGGAAGAGACUAGUUUGUAAUAAUAUGGGAUGCCCAAAAUGGUUCUUUUUGCUUAGAUGGUGGUCCAUGAAAUGUUGUAUACCAGAGAUAGACUGGUAAAAUGGGGAGUGACGAGUAUAAUAUGUCCUUUAUGUGAUGUAGAAGCUGAAUCUGUAAUCCACUUGUUCUUCAAGUGCUCAUUUGCUGCUUCAAUAUGGAAUCAAUUGCUAAGAUGGCAAGGUAUGGAUAGACAAGCAAUGGGAUGGGUGGAUGAUCAAACAUGGGCUGCAGUUCAUGAAUGGUAAAAAUGCCAAGGCAGAGAGCUAUAGAAUGAGUUUGGUAGGAUGGGCAUACUAUGUCUGACAAGAAAGGAACCACCGGAUAUUUCAAGAU
rnacentral:lncRNA from 1 species